rnacentral:rRNA from 1 species
GACGAACGCUGGCGGCGUGCUUAACACAUGCAAGUCGAACGGAAAGGCCCUGCUUUUGUGGGGUGCUCGAGUGGCGAACGGGUGAGUAACACGUGAGUAACCUGCCCUUGACUUUGGGAUAACUUCAGGAAACUGGGGCUAAUACCGGAUAGGAGCUCCUGCUGCAUGGUGGGGGUUGGAAAGUUUCGGCGGUUGGGGAUGGACUCGCGGCUUAUCAGCUUGUUGGUGGGGUAGUGGCUUACCAAGGCUUUGACGGGUAGCCGGCCUGAGAGGGUGACCGGCCACAUUGGGACGGAGAUACGGCCCAGACUCCUACGGGAGGCAGCAGUGGGGAAUAUUGCACAAUGGGCGGAAGCAUGAUGCAGCAACGCCGCGUGCGGGAUGACGGCCUUCGGGUUGUAAACCGCUUUCGCCUGUGACGAAGCGUGAGUGACGGUAAUGGGUAAAGAAGCACCGGCUAACUACGUG